rnacentral:rRNA from 1 species
GAUGAACGCUAGCUACAGGCUUAACACAUGCAAGUCGAGGGGUAACGAGAGGAAAGCUUGCUUUCCUUGUCGACGACCGGCGCACGGGUGAGUAACGCGUAUCCAACCUGCCCCCAACUAGGGAAUAACCUUGCGAAAGUAAGACUAAUACCCUAUAAUUUCCUCAGAUGUCAUCUGACGAGGAAUAAAGAUUUAUCGGUUGUGGAUGGGGAUGCGUCUGAUUAGCUUGUUGGCGGGGUAACGGCCCACCAAGGCAACGAUCAGUAGGGGUUCUGAGGGGAAGGUCCCCCACAUGGGAACUGAGACACGGUCCAAACUCCUACGGGAGGCAGCAGUGAGGAAUAUUGGUCAAUGGGCGAAAGCCUGAACCAGCCAAGUAGCGUGCAGGAUGACGGCCCUAUGGGUUGUAAACUGCUUUUAUACAGGAAUAAAGUUAGCCACGUGUGGUUAUUUGUAGGUACUGUAUGAAUAAGGACCGGCUAAUUCCGUGCCAGCAGCCGCGGUAA